UUCCCGAAUUCAUAAGAGCUACUCAUAUUAUUGUAAUUACUACUUAAAAUUUGAAAUGAAACGUUAAUAUAUCUGGUUUUCUAAGAAAAUUAAAUUUUAUUAUUUUUCUGGGGAUAAGCUUAGAAUAGGAUUAGAAGUUUUAUUAUAUUUAAUUUAUUAGAAUAAUUAAUUAAAUUUUUUUUGUAAUUAUGAUUAUAUUAGUAUAAGGUUGGUUUAAGGAACUCGGCAAUAAUUUUCCACCUGUUUAUUAAAAACAUGUCCUUUAGUAAAAAAUUUAAGGUCUAGCCUGCCCUAUGAGGCCGCGGUAUUUUGACCGUGCAAAGGUAGCAUAAUAAUUAGUUUCUUAAUUAGAAGCUGGAAUGAAUGGCUGAAUGAGAAAAUUACUGUCUCUUACCAAUAGAAUUUUAUUUUUGAGUAAGAAAGCUCAAAUUAAUUUAAAAGACGAGAAGACCCUAUAGAGUUUAAUUUUUAUUGGGGCGAUAAAAAAAUUAAAUAAACUUUUGAUUAAAAGAAAAAAUUACCUUAGGGAUAACAGCGUAAUCUUUCUAAGAGUUCAUAUCAAAAGAAAGGUUUGCGACCUCGA
rnacentral:rRNA from 1 species